AAGUCGUAACAAGGUUUCCGUAGGUGAACCUGCGGAAGGAUCAUUAACACGUAUCCACGUUAAUAUCAACCACCACGAACUGUGCUCCCUGGCUGCCAACUAUUUUGCUUCGUCCGACACGGGUUGUAAUGGAGUUACGAAGAUUGUCUUGCACCUAGGUCCAUCUGACUGUCGUAACAUACUCGUGUCCGUCUUACAUGUCUCUCUUCGGGGAGGCGUGUGGCAAAGUGACCGGUUCGCUGGGUUAUUUUCCCCCAUCAAUCUGCUCUCUCAACCAUUUUGAGAGAAAAGUGCGAUACCAUACCAAUUUCACCCUAUUUUACCUAUUUGACUAAUUACGAAUUCUAUGGGAGAAAUCCUAUUGGAAUGACCUAAGAUUUAUCUUAACUAAGCACAACUCUUAGCAAUGGAUAUCUUGGUUCUC
rnacentral:misc_RNA from 1 species